rnacentral:rRNA from 1 species
AGGGUUUGAUCAUGGCUCAGGAUGAACGCUGGCGGCGUGCUUAACACAUGCAAGUCGAACGAACCUUCGGGUUAGUGGCGGACGGGUGAGUAACGCGUGAGAAUCUGCCCUCAGGAGGGGGAUAACGGUUGGAAACGACCGCUAAUACCCCAUAUGCCUAUUGGUGAAAUGAAUUUCGCCUGAGGAUGAGCUCGCGUCUGAUUAGCUAGUUGGUGUGGUAAUGGCUCACCAAGGCUUCGAUCAGUAGCUGGUCUGAGAGGAUGAUCAGCCACACUGGGACUGAGACACGGCCCAGACUCCUACGGGAGGCAGCAGUGGGGAAUUUUCCGCAAUGGGCGAAAGCCUGACGGAGCAACGCCGCGUGAGGGACGAAGGCCUCUGGGCUGUAAACCUCUUUUCUCAAGGAAGAAGAUAUGACGGUACUUGAGGAAUAAGCCACGGCUAAUUCCGUGCCAGCAGCCGCGGUAAUACGGGAGUGGCAAGCGUUAUCCGGAAUUAUUGGGCGUAAAGCGUCCGCAGGCGGCUUUUCAAGUCUGCUGUUAAAGCGUGGAGCUUAACUCCAUCAUGGCAGUGGAAACUGAAAGGCUUGAGUAUGGUAGGGGCAGAGGGAAUUCCCGGUGUAGCGGUGAAAUGCGUAGAUAUCGGGAAGAACACCAGUGGCGAAGGCGCUCUGCUGGGCCAUUACUGACGCUCAUGGACGAAAGCCAGGGGAGCGAAAGGGAUUAGAUACCCCUGUAGUCCUGGCCGUAAACGAUGAACACUAGGUGUCGGGGGAAUCGACCCCUUCGGUGUCGUAGCUAACGCGUUAAGUGUUCCGCCUGGGGAGUACGCACGCAAGUGUGAAACUCAAGGAAUUGACGGGGCCCGCACAGCGGUGGAGUAUGUGGUUUAAUUCGAUGCACGCGAAGAACC